AGGUACCUGAGUAUAUGGGGAUGAAUGGAAUAGAUUCAAUGUCGAGGUUAUGAGAAAAGUAAAAGGGGGGAAUAUUUCCCCCCUGAGCCUUAACU
rnacentral:sRNA from 1 species